UGACAUUAGCAACCCACUUCUCCAACUCCUCCUCGACCUGCUGCUCCGACUCUCCGGAGCCAUCAAGCUCCAUCCCGCUCCUCACCUUCCGCUUCAAAUCCUCCAAGGUAUCAAUGUCGAACGCGUACAUGCCCGCGCCGACGCCAAUCAUUGCAACGCUAGCAACAUUUAUCGUUGCGAUGUUGAGUGCUUCGAGAGCCUCGAGGCCUCCGUUAGCGGACGGCCGGUGGAAGGGGGCGCUGGUGUAGGUGGGCGGGAGUGUGCUGAUGCGCUUGCGCAGAAAGGCGCGGCGGGUUAUGAGGGAUGACAAGGCGAGGAAAACGGUGCCACCGAGAAGGAGUUUUGUGGAGUUUGGGAUGAGGGGCUUUUUGGAAGGUUGGAGUGCCUCUGCUUGUGAUGUUGGUGGAUCUUGGCCGGUGGUGCCAGCCAUUGUUGAUACCAGUGGCGGAGGCAGUGGUGGUGACGAUGAUGACGGACCCGGGAUAUAUGAUGCGAAGCAGACGGAUGACAUAUGCUUUCGUUCACGUCGGUUUCAUCAUCAUCAUCGCCGUGUUCUUC
rnacentral:sRNA from 1 species